GGAUGUGAGGGUGAUCUGGCUGUGACAUCUGUCACCCCACUGAUCGCCAGGCUUGAUUCGGCUGAUCUGGCUGGCUAGGCGGGUAUCCCCUUCUUCCCUCACCGCUCCAUGUGAGUCCCUCCUGAAGUUGAGUGCUCGGUCAAAGUGGAUGGCCUUCCCCCAAUAGAGACGGACCGGUCUUUGGUUGAAGGUAUGUGAGUAGUUGUGCUCCCCUGCUAGAACCUCCAAACAAGCUCUCAAGGUCCAUAAAGUGCGUUACAAAGCUGCAAUCACAUUAGGUUAGAAUAACCUUUUUUUUUUUUU
ensembl:misc_RNA 7SK 7SK RNA